UUAAAAUCUCUCUCUCAAUCCCUCCCUCUCUCCGUCACUGUCUCUCUCCCCCCUUCUCUCUUGCUCUCUCUUUAUAUAUGCGCCUGCUAUUGAUUGUAUUUCUCUAGAGAACCCUGACAAAUACAGGAACCAAGUUGCUCGUGGAGGCCAAUCCAGAGCUGGAAAGGAGGGACAGAGAGGUGGGAUCAUGCACAGCAAAGCAGAGCCACAGAAAAACAGUGAAGAAAGGUGACCAGCAAGAAUGUUCACCUUACAAUCCUGCUACCAAAUCACAAAAUCUGCUACGUCCUCUGACUUGCCUCACUGUGGCUACGCUAAGGAUGCUUCAGGAGCUGAAAGAGAAGGAGGAGAAGCUG
rnacentral:lncRNA from 1 species